CUCCGCUUUAAACCGGCGAAGCAUUUUCCGCUCGGGAAAACCCGCGCUUGAUUUUCCUUUUUUCUAUCACCCACCUACUAAUUUCCGAACCCCUGUUCGCGUCGCUCGCUCGGGUUUGGAUCCGAGCACAGGCCCGGCCGGCGGAUGCUGUAGAGAAAUGGCGGAGGCCGUCGCGUCCGCGGGUGGGCUCGCCAUGGCGGCAGCCUCGACCUCCGUCACGCCCGGCCAGGUUUCUGCUAUUCUGGGGUUUCUUUGGGUUUUCGCAGCCUGGGCAUAUGCUGAGGUUCUCUUUCAUAGGAAGAAUGCUGCUUCUAUUAAAACAUACUCGGAUGUCAAUUUAGCAGUAAUGGAUAAUAGUUCAGUCAAAGAAGAUCAAACACUUCUGUUGGAGGAGGGUGGCCAAGCUGUAGCUGCAAAGCCAGCUUAUAAUUCCUUCACAUCACAAAUGCUCAGACUUUUCUUCAUGGACCAGAUGCUUCUUCUGGAGAAUCGUUUAACACUGAGGGCAAUAUCUGAGUUUGGAGGGUAUCUACUUUAUUUUUACAUAUGUGAUCGUACUGACUUACUCGGAGAGUCUGCCAAGAAUUACAGCCGAGAUCUGUUCCUUUUCCUCUACUUUCUUCUCAUUAUUGUAUCAGCUAUGACUUCCUUUAAAGUCCAUCAAGACAAGUCUGCACUCACAGGGAAAUCUAUAUUGUACUUGAACAGGCAUCAAACCGAAGAAUGGAAGGGUUGGAUGCAGGUGUUAUUCUUGAUGUACCACUACUUUAACGCUAAAGAGAUCUACAAUGCAAUCCGUGUGUUUAUUGCUGCAUAUGUCUGGAUGACUGGAUUUGGCAACUUCUCUUAUUAUUAUGUGAGGAAGGAUUUCAGUCUAGGAAGGUUUGCUCAGAUGAUGUGGCGCCUCAAUUUCUUUGUUAUAUUGUGCUGCAUUGUCCUGAACAAUGACUAUACACUCUAUUAUAUUUGCCCUAUGCACACCCUUUUCACCCUAAUGGUUUAUGGUGCUCUUGGAAUUCUUAACAAAUAUAACGAGAUUAGAUCGGUGAUGUGUUUUCCCUUCCAAGGAUGAACGGUGCGAUUUGCCUUUGGGUGCAGGCUAUACUGAUCCUUCUAAACCAGAUCUCCCCCGGUUGCAUGAGUGGCAAUUCCGAUCUGGACUGGAUCGCUACAUUUGGAUCGUGGGGAUGAUAUAUGCGUAUUACCACCCAACUGUUGAGAAGUGGAUGGAGAAGCUGGAAGAAACUGAACUGAGAACCAAACUCUAUAUUAAGGGCUCAAUAGUUACAGUAUCUUUGACGGCUGGUUAUUUGUGGUAUGAAUACAUUUAUAAGCUGGAUAAGAUUACAUACAACAAGUUACAUCCCUAUACAUCCUGGAUCCCCAUAACUGUCUACAUAUGCCUACGCAACUUCACCCAGGAAUUCAGGAGCUUCUCUCUCACACUAUUUGCCUGGCUUGGAAAGAUUACACUGGAGACAUACAUAUCUCAGUUCCACAUCUGGCUCAGAUCAAGGGUGCCCAAUGGACAGCCGAAAUGGCUAUUGACAAUAAUCCCAAAUUACCCACUGCUCAAUUUCAUGCUCACUACUGCUAUAUAUGUCGCGGUUUCCCACAGGCUCUUAGAGUUGACUAAUACCUUGAAGAUGGCAUUUGUGCCCAGUCGUGACAACAAGCGCCUCUCAUACAAUUUUGUAGCAGGCAUUACCAUUUCAGUUGCACUAUACUGUGUAUCAUUUGUUCUAGUUGGCAUUGCAGGAUACUAGGAAAUCUUUUUAUUUUCAUUUUCAAGUGUUCUAUUUGGUGUUCUAGUUCAAUGACUAGGCCAGUUCAAUCGUGAGCAAAUUCAAGGCGACACGUCACGCACUGCCCAGAAAGCUGCUAUUUCUUUCACUGGAGUAAGUUUUGCCUGAGUUCCUUGGUGAAAAGUAAUCGAGCUGCGCCUCACAAGAACAGAAGAUCAGUGUAACAUACGAGGGAACCAACCCCAUGAAGGGGAUAUGAUAAGAAUAGAUAUUCCUGUAUAGCCGUUGAGAUGCAUACGUCGGCUGUUGAAAUCAGAUGUUUCCCAUUUUUGUUUAAUAUAGACAGAAUGGUGAUGAGAAGUUCGACUACUUGAUUCUCGUUUUA